rnacentral:rRNA from 1 species
GACGAACGCUGGCGGCGUGCUUAACACAUGCAAGUCGAACGGAAAGGCCCUGCUUGCAGGGUACUCGAGUGGCGAACGGGUGAGUAACACGUGGGUGAUCUGCCCUGCACUUCGGGAUAAGCCUGGGAAGCUGGGUCUAAUACCGGAUAGGAGCCAUUUUUAGUGUGAUGGUUGGAAAGUUUUUUCGGUGUAGGAUGAGCUCGCGGCCUAUCAGCUUGUUGGUGGGGUAAUGGCCUACCAAGGCGGCGACGGGUAGCCGGCCUGAGAGGGUGGACGGCCACAUUGGGACUGAGAUACGGCCCAGACUCCUACGGGAGGCAGCAGUGGGGAAUAUUGCACAAUGGGCGCAAGCCUGAUGCAGCGACGCCGCGUGGGGGAUGACGGCCUUCGGGUUGCAAACUCCUUUCGCUAGGGACGAAGCUUUUUGUGACGGUACCUAGAUAAGAAGCACCGGCUAACUACGUG